GACGAACGCUGGCGGCAUGCCUAAUACAUGCAAGUCGAACGCGACCAGCCGGUGCUUGCACUGGCGAAGUCGAGUGGCGAACGGGUGAGUAACACGUGAGAAACCUACCCUGGAGUGGGGAAUAACUCGAAGAAAUUCGAGCUAAUACCGCAUACCUUCUUACCGUCGAAUGGUGGUUUGAAGAAAGAUUUAUCGCUCUGGGAGGGUCUCACGGCCUAUCAGCUAGUUGGUGAGGUAACGGCUCACCAAGGCAUCGACGGGUAGCUGGUCUGAGAGGACGAUCAGCCACACUGGAACUGAGACACGGUCCAGACUCCUACGGGAGGCAGCAGUAGGGAAUCUUGCGCAAUGGGCGAAAGCCUGACGCAGCAAUGCCGCGUGCGGGACGAAGGCCCUAGGGUCGUAAACCGCUUUCAGUAGAGACGAAAAUGACGGUACCUGCAGAAGAAGCUCCGGCCAACUACGUGCCAGCAGCCGCGGUAAU
rnacentral:rRNA from 1 species